UACAGAGGGUGCGAGCGUUGUCCGGAAUCACUGGGCGUAAAGGGCGCGUAGGUGGUGGCUUAAGCGUGCGGUGAAAGCUCGGGGCUCAACCCCGAGUCGGCCGUGCGAACUGGGCUCACUGGAGCAUAGUAGAGGCAGGUGGAAUUCCGGGUGUAGCGGUGGAAUGCGUAGAGAUCCGGAAGAACACCGGUGGCGAAGGCGGUCUGCUGGGCAGUUGCUGACACUGGAGGCGCGACGAGCGUGGGGAGCAAACAGGAUUGAGAA
rnacentral:rRNA from 1 species